rnacentral:rRNA from 1 species
GAUGAACGCUGGCGGCGUGCCUAAUACAUGCAAGUCGAGCGAACAGACGAGGAGCUUGCUCCUCUGACGUUAGCGGCGGACGGGUGAGUAACACGUGGAUAACCUACCUAUAAGACUGGGAUAACUUCGGGAAACCGGAGCUAAUACCGGAUAAUAUAUUGAACCGCAUGGUUCAAUAGUGAAAGACGGUUUUGCUGUCACUUAUAGAUGGAUCCGCGCCGCAUUAUCUAGUUGGUAAGGUAACGGCUUACCAAGGCAACGGUGCGUAGCCGACCUGAGCGGGGGAUCGCACACAGUGGAAGUGAGACACGGUCCAGACUCCUACGGGCGGCAGCAGGAGGGAAUCUUACGCAAUGGGCGAAAGCCUGACGGAGCAACGCCGCGGGAGUGAUGAAGGUCUUCGGAUCGUAAAACUCUGUUAGUAGGGAAGAAAAAAUGUGUAAGUAACUAUGGACGUCUUGACGGUACCGAAUCAGAAAGCCACGGCUAACUACGUG